rnacentral:rRNA from 1 species
UUGGAGGGCAAGUCUGGUGCCAGCAGCCGCGGUAAUUCCAGCUCCAAUAGCGUAUAUUAAAGUUGUUGCAGUUAAAAAGCUCGUAGUUGAAUUUCGGGAUCGAUGGGUCGGUCAUGCCCUCGGUAUGUACUGAUCCCAUUGGUUCUCACCUUCUAAGGAACCAUGAUGUCAUUCGGUUGAUGUUGUGGGGAAUUAGGACUGUUACCUUGAAAAAAUUAGAGUGUUUAAAGCAGGCCAACGCUUGAAUACAUUAGCAUGGAAUAAUGAAAUAGGACAUCCGAUUCUAUUUUGUUGGUUUCUAGGAUCGAUGUAAUGAUUAAUAGGGAUAGUUGGGGGCAUUAGUAUUCAAUUGUCAGAGGUGAAAUUCUUGGAUUUAUUGAAGACUAACUACUGCGAAAGCAUUUGCCAAGGAUGUUUUCAUUAAUCAAGAACGAAAGUUAGGGGAUCGAAGACGAUCAGAUACCGUCGUAGUCUUAACCAUAAACUAUGCCGACUAGGGAUCGGAUGAUGCUUAUUUUUUAAUGACUCAUUCGGCGCCUUACGGGAAAC